UGGGGAAUAUUGCGCAAUGGGGGGAACCCUGACGCAGCCAUGCCGCGUGAAUGAAGAAGGCCUUCGGGUUGUAAAGUUCUUUCGGUAUUGAGGAAGGUUGAUGUGAUAAUAGCACAUCAAAUUGACGUUAAAUACAGAAGAAGCACCGGCUAACUCCGUGCCAGCAGCCGCGGUAAUACGGAGGGUGCGAGCGUUAAUCGGAAUAACUGGGCGUAAAGGGCACGCAGGCGGUUAUUUAAGUGAGGUGUGAAAGCCCUGGGCUUAACCUAGGAAUUGCAUUUCAGACUGGGUAACUAGAGUACUUUAGGGAGGGGUAGAAUUCCACGUGUAGCGGUGAAAUGCGUAGAGAUGUGGAGGAAUACCGAAGGCGAAGGCAGCCCCUUGGGAAUGUACUGACGUUCAUGUGCGAAAGCGUGGGGAGCAAACGGGAUUAGAUACCCUGGUAGUCCACGCUGUAAACGCUGUCGAUUUGGGGGUUGGGGUUUAACUCUGGCGCCCGUAGCUAACGUGAUAAAUCGACCGCCUGGGGAGUACGGCCGCAAGGUUA
rnacentral:rRNA from 1 species